AGAUACGCGGUACUUUCUGGUCAAUCCAGUGAGGUGUGGGAGCCAUGUUGUGCUGUGUAACAAGGAGUUUUAUUUGUUGUGAUGAUGAAGAUUGUUGCUGGGAUGACUGGGAGGACAUGGGGCGUGUGUGUGGGGAGGGAUAGAGAGAGAGCGAGAAAGAGUAAAAAAAACAGAAUGUACGACAAGGUUUUAAAUCUCCAGAAACGAGAGGACGUCUACAACGCGGAGAGAGGGAAAGAGGGAGAGAGAGAAUAAGAAUUCUGCUUUGUACAACUCACGAGUGACUCAAGGUGACCUGACAAGUUCCCCAAGAACAUAGCACCGAAGACGGAUGAGAGAGACAGAGAGAGAUCAGCACACAUGAAUCUUAAGACAUAUAUAAUAUUUGGAUCGACACCUAAGUUGAUCGAAUGGGCCCAAUCUCUGUGAUGAUGCACCCGUGAUAUCAAGACAUCUCUGGUAAAAAAAAACAAGCGCCAUCUUGUCAACGGAAGGCAUCACCAAACUCCCAGGAUCAAUCUUCUGUUGAAAUGGUCGCCUCACCUGGGCCGGUAAAGGAAGCUUUUGAUGAGAGAGCCUCGGGGAUAAGAAAUGUGAACAUAUUCUGCAGGCCAAGGUGAAUUAAGA